AUACGUAGGGGGCGAGCGUUGUCCGGAAUGAUUGGGCGUAAAGGGCGCGUAGGCGGCCCGGUAAGUCUGGAGUGAAAGUCCUGUUUUUAAGAUGGGAAUUGCUUUGGAUACUGUCGGGCUUGAGUGCAGGAGAGGUAAGUGGAAUUCCCAGUGUAGCGGUGAAAUGCGUAGAGAUUGGGAGGAACACCAGUGGCGAAGGCGACUUACUGGACUGUAACUGACGCUGAGGCGCGAAAGUGUGGGGAGCAAACAGGAUUAGAUACCCUGGUAGUCCACACUGUAAACGAUGAAUGCUAGGUGUAGGGGGUAUCGACCCCUUCUGUGCCGCAGUCAACACAAUAAGCAUUCCGCCUGGGGAGUACGGCCGCAAGGUGGAAACUCAAAGGAAUUGACGGGG
rnacentral:rRNA from 1 species